GCCGGUUUUACAUAGAGGUUAGAGCAUCACAUUUGAAAUGCGAUGGUCAUCGGUUCGAACCUGAUAACCGGAU
rnacentral:tRNA from 1 species